rnacentral:rRNA from 1 species
AAACCAGCACCUCAAGUGGUCAGGAGGGUUAUUGGGCCUAAAGCAUCCGUAGCCUGCUUUGUAAGUUUUCGGUUAAAUCCAUAUGCUCAACGUACAGGCUGUCGGGAAUACUGCAGAGCUAGGGAGUGGGAGAGGUAGACGGUACUCGGGAGGAAGUGGUAAAAUGCUUUGAUCUCUCGAUGACCACCUGUGGCGAAGGCGGUCUACCAGAACACGUCCGACGGUGAGAGAUGAAAGCUGGGGGAGCAAACCGGAUUAGAAACCCGGGUAGUCC